GGGACACGUGGUAUCCUGUCUGAAUAUGGGGGGACCAUCCUCCAAGGCUAAAUACUCCUGACUGACCGAUAGUGAACCAGUACCGUGAGGGAAAGGCGAAAAGAACCCCGGCGAGGGGAGUGAAAAAGAACCUGAAACCGUGUACGUACAAGCAGUAGGAGCCUCUUUAUGGGGUGACUGCGUACCUUUUGUAUAAUGGGUCAGCGACUUAUAUUCUGUAGCAAGGUUAACCGUAUAGGGGAGCCGCAGGGAAACCGAGUCUUAACUGGGCGUUAAGUUGCAGGGUAUAGACCCGAAACCCGGUGAUCUAGCCAUGGGCAGGUUGAAGGUUGGGUAACACUAACUGGAGGACCGAACCGACUAAUGUUGAAAAAUUAGCGGAUGACUUGUGGCUGGGGGUGAAAGGCCAAUCAAACCGGGAGAUAGCUGGUUCUC
rnacentral:rRNA from 1 species